rnacentral:rRNA from 1 species
UGGGGAAUUUUGGACAAUGGGCGCAAGCCUGAUCCAGCAAUGCCGCGUGCAGGAUGAAGGCCUUCGGGUUGUAAACUGCUUUUUGUACGGAACGAAAAGCCUCUCUCUAAUACAGGGGGGUGAUGACGGUACCGUAAGAAUAAGCACCGGCUAACUACGUGCCAGCAGCCGCGGUAAUACGUAGGGUGCAAGCGUUAAUCGGAAUUACUGGGCGUAAAGCGUGCGCAGGCGGUUUUGUAAGACAGUGGUGAAAUCCCCGGGCUCAACCUGGGAACUGCCAUUGUGACUGCAAGGCUGGAGUGCGGCAGAGGGGGAUGGAAUUCCGCGUGUAGCAGUGAAAUGCGUAGAUAUGCGGAGGAACACCGAUGGCGAAGGCAAUCCCCUGGGCCUGCACUGACGCUCAUGCACGAAAGCGUGGGGAGCAAACAGGAUUAGAUACCCUGGUAGUCCACGCCCUAAAACGAUGUCAACUGGUUGUUGGGGAUUUAUUUCUUCAGUAACGAAGCUAACGCGUGAAGUUGA